UAAGGUGAUAAAAGACUUUUGGGAGAUGUCAUACACUGACAUAAGAAAAAAGCUGAUUGACAGGUGGAUCAGCCUCCCGGAAUACCCCCCCAUCAGCUGUUUCCAGAGAAGCAAAAGAAGCUAGAUCUGUCUGCAGAAAUGCAUACAAAUGCAUUCGGUAACCUCCAUGCUUGCCUUUUGAGAAAGAUCAAGUACUGAAGCCUAGCUGGUACACUAGCUGCUUGGAUUCUGAAGCUAACUGCAUUGCAGGAGAGAAGAGACAGUAAGAAUCUGCAUGAAUUUCAAGAAAUACUUGACAACAGCAAUAAAUGACAAGAAAUAGGCAACAGCAACCAAGAUUAAAGAGGAAAGUAUGAGUCCAGAAAAAUCCUGGAUGAGGCUGCAUGCAGGCACAUGAGAAACUAAAAAGCAGUGGGCAACACUUCAGCAAAUUGCCAAUUUCCUUUAGAUGUGAUUCAAGGACUGAUAUUAGCGCUAAAACUGAAGGAAAGAAUAUACCAUCUAAACUCCUGAAGAAAAAGUAGGAUUGUUUUAUUCUUCAAACUUUUAAUGUGAUUAUUUUACUCCAUCUUUUUCCACACCAUCUUAAGAAGCUAUAUUUGAAUGUCAAAACUAUGAAGAACAAAAAAUCUACUCAGCCUUGAACCAAUCAGGUCAUCCUACAAUAAAGCCAUGGGAAAAUAAAUUGCAUAGCAGAACAUGUCCUGCACUAAUGCAAA